CGCACCACUUUUCACUAGGUG
rnacentral:miRNA from 1 species